CAUGCCGCGUGAGUGAAGAAGGCCUUCGGGUUGUAAAGCUCUUUUGUCAGGGAAGAAACAGCAGCUUUAAUACAGCAUGCGAAUGACGGUACCUGAAGAAUAAGCACCGGCUAACUACGUGCCAGCAGCCGCGGUAAUACGUAGGGUGCAAGCGUUAAUCGGAAUUACUGGGCGUAAAGCGUGCGCAGGCGGUUAUACAAGACAGGUGUGAAAUCCCCGGGCUUAACCUGGGAAUGGCAUCUGUGACUGUAUAGCUAGAGUGUGUCAGAGGGGGGUAGAAUUCCACGUGUAGCAGUGAAAUGCGUAGAUAUGUGGAGGAAUACCAAUGGCGAAGGCAGCCCCCUGGGAUAACACUGACGCUCAUGCACGAAAGCGUGGGGAGCAAACAGGAUUAGAUACCCUGGUAGUCCACGCCCUAAACGAUGCUGACUAGUUGUUCGGGAUUUACAUCCUGAGUAACGUAGCUAACGCGUGAAGUCAGGCGCCUGGGGAGUACGGUCGCAAGAUUUAAACUCCAAAGGAAUUGACGGGGACCCCGCACAAGCGGUGGAUGAUGUGGAUUA
rnacentral:rRNA from 1 species